rnacentral:rRNA from 1 species
GGUUAAGCGACUAAGCGUACACGGUGGAUGCCCUGGCAGUCAGAGGCGAUGAAGGACGUGCUAAUCUGCGAUAAGCGUCGGUAAGGUGAUAUGAACCGUUAUAACCGGCGAUUUCCGAAUGGGGAAACCCAGUGUGAUUCGUCACACUAUCAUUAACUGAAUCCAUAGGUUAAUGAGGCGAACCGGGGGAACUGAAACAUCUAAGUACCCCGAGGAAAAGAAAUCAACCGAGAUUCCCCCAGUAGCGGCGAGCGAACGGGGAGCAGCCCAGAGCCUGAAUCAGUGUGUGUGUUAGUGGAAGCGUCUGGAAAGGCGCGCGAUACAGGGUGACAGCCCCGUACACAAAAAUGCACAUACUGUGAGCUCGAUGAGUAGGGCGGGACACGUGGUAUCCUGUCUGAAUAUGGGGGGACCAUCCUCCAAGGCUAAAUACUCCUGACUGACCGAUAGUGAACCAGUACCGUGAGGGAAAGGCGAAAAGAACCCCGGCGAGGGGAGUGAAAAAGAACCUGAAACCGUGUACGUACAAGCAGUGGGAGCACAGAGCAAUCUGUGUGACUGCGUACCUUUUGUAUAAUGGGUCAGCGACUUAUAUUCUGUAGCAAGGUUAACCGAAUAGGGGAGCCGAAGGGAAACCGAGUCUUAACUGGGCGUUAAGUUGCAGGGUAUAGACCCGAAACCCGGUGAUCUAGCCAUGGGCAGGUUGAAGGUUGGGUAACACUAACUGGAGGACCGAACCGACUAAUGUUGAAAAAUUAGCGGAUGACUUGUGGCUGGGGGUGAAAGGCCAAUCAAACCGGGAGAUAGCUGGUUCUCCCCGAAAGCUAUUUAGGUAGCGCCUCGUGAAUUCAUCUCCGGGGGUAGAGCACUGUUUCGGCAAGGGGGUCAUCCCGACUUACCAACCCGAUGCAAACUGCGAAUACCGGAGAAUGUUAUCACGGGAGACACACGGCGGGUGCUAACGUCCGUCGUGAAGAGGGAAACAACCCAGACCGCCAGCUAAGGUCCCAAAGUCAUGGUUAAGUGGGAAACGAUGUGGGAAGGCCCAGACAGCCAGGAUGUUGGCUUAGAAGCAGCCAUCAUUUAAAGAAAGCGUAAUAGCUCACUGGUCGAGUCGGCCUGCGCGGAAGAUGUAACGGGGCUAAACCAUGCACCGAAGCUGCGGCAGCGACGCUGAUGCGUUGUUGGGUAGGGGAGCGUUCUGUAAGCCUGCGAAGGUGUGCUGUGAGGCAUGCUGGAGGUAUCAGAAGUGCGAAUGCUGACAUAAGUAACGAUAAAGCGGGUGAAAAGCCCGCUCGCCGGAAGACCAAGGGUUCCUGUCCAACGUUAAUCGGGGCAGGGUGAGUCGACCCCUAAGGCGAGGCCGAAAGGCGUAGUCGAUGGGAAACAGGUUAAUAUUCCUGUACUUGGUGUUACUGCGAAGGGGGGACGGAGAAGGCUAUGUUGGCCGGGCGACGGUUGUCCCGGUUUAAGCGUGUAGGCUGGUUUUCCAGGCAAAUCCGGAAAAUCAAGGCUGAGGCGUGAUGACGAGGCACUACGGUGCUGAAGCAACAAAUGCCCUGCUUCCAGGAAAAGCCUCUAAGCAUCAGGUAACAUCAAAUCGUACCCCAAACCGACACAGGUGGUCAGGUAGAGAAUACCAAGGCGCUUGAGAGAACUCGGGUGAAGGAACUAGGCAAAAUGGUGCCGUAACUUCGGGAGAAGGCACGCUGAUAUGUAGGUGAAGUCCCUCGCGGAUGGAGCUGAAAUCAGUCGAAGAUACCAGCUGGCUGCAACUGUUUAUUAAAAACACAGCACUGUGCAAACACGAAAGUGGACGUAUACGGUGUGACGCCUGCCCGGUGCCGGAAGGUUAAUUGAUGGGGUUAGCGCAAGCGAAGCUCUUGAUCGAAGCCCCGGUAAACGGCGGCCGUAACUAUAACGGUCCUAAGGUAGCGAAAUUCCUUGUCGGGUAAGUUCCGACCUGCACGAAUGGCGUAAUGAUGGCCAGGCUGUCUCCACCCGAGACUCAGUGAAAUUGAACUCGCUGUGAAGAUGCAGUGUACCCGCGGCAAGACGGAAAGACCCCGUGAACCUUUACUAUAGCUUGACACUGAACAUUGAGCCUUGAUGUGUAGGAUAGGUGGGAGGCUUUGAAGUGUGGACGCCAGUCUGCAUGGAGCCGACCUUGAAAUACCACCCUUUAAUGUUUGAUGUUCUAACGUUGACCCGUAAUCCGGGUUGCGGACAGUGUCUGGUGGGUAGUUUGACUGGGGCGGUCUCCUCCUAAAGAGUAACGGAGGAGCACGAAGGUUGGCUAAUCCUGGUCGGACAUCAGGAGGUUAGUGCAAUGGCAUAAGCCAGCUUGACUGCGAGCGUGACGGCGCGAGCAGGUGCGAAAGCAGGUCAUAGUGAUCCGGUGGUUCUGAAUGGAAGGGCCAUCGCUCAACGGAUAAAAGGUACUCCGGGGAUAACAGGCUGAUACCGCCCAAGAGUUCAUAUCGACGGCGGUGUUUGGCACCUCGAUGUCGGCUCAUCACAUCCUGGGGCUGAAGUAGGUCCCAAGGGUAUGGCUGUUCGCCAUUUAAAGUGGUACGCGAGCUGGGUUUAGAACGUCGUGAGACAGUUCGGUCCCUAUCUGCCGUGGGCGCUGGAGAACUGAGGGGGGCUGCUCCUAGUACGAGAGGACCGGAGUGGACGCAUCACUGGUGUUCGGGUUGUCAUGCCAAUGGCACUGCCCGGUAGCUAAAUGCGGAAGAGAUAAGUGCUGAAAGCAUCUAAGCACGAAACUUGCCCCGAGAUGAGUUCUCCCUGACUCCUUGAGAGUCCUGAAGGAACGUUGAAGACGACGACGUUGAUAGGCCGGAUGUGUAAGCGCAGCGAUGCGUUGAGCUAACCGGUACUAAUGAACCGUGAGGCUUAACCUU